rnacentral:tRNA from 1 species
GUCCAGGGAUGGGAAUCGAACCCACGACAUGGCAUCUGCCCGGUAAGCGGAAGGUCGUGGGUUCGAUUCCCAUCCCUGGACA